rnacentral:rRNA from 1 species
CCCUACGGGGUGCAGCAGUAUCAGCGGCGGAGCUGUCGGCAGGCAUUGCAGACAUUAUUUCAGUAAGGUCGAUAAGAUUCGACUGGAGCGACAGGUUUCCCUUUAUUAUGUCACCUCUGAACAAGUAUGGGAUAAAGUUUUCGAGACGGCCGGCAACUGUGAAAUCGCUGCUUUUCCCAAUAUUGAUUUUCCUUUCCUUCAUAAGGGCAUAGGUAGGAGAUAUCUCAAAUCCAGCCCUCCCGAUCUUUAUCCCCGGGUAUCCGGUCAUAGCCAGAGACAUGUUGCUGAUGUUCAUACUGCCAAGUGCACUGAACCUGUCAUACUGCUUAUUAUCAAGCAUCGACAUUUUUCCUGCCAUCUUUACGGCUAUAUCAACAAGUCCUGACAUAGAAAUACUAUCUAUCGGGAGAGC